rnacentral:rRNA from 1 species
UACGUAGGGAGCAAGCGUUGUUCGGAUUUACUGGGCGUAAAGGGCGCGUAGGCGGCAAUUUCAAGUCACUUGUGAAAUCUCCGGGCUUAACUCGGAACGGUCAAGUGAUACUGCUUUGCUAGAGUGCGGAAGGGGCAAUCGGAAUUCUCGGUGUAGCGGUGAAAUGCGUAGAUAUCGAGAGGAACACCUGAGGUGAAGACGGGUUGCUGGGCCGACACUGACGCUGACAGCGCGAAAGCCAGGGGAGCAAACGGG